rnacentral:tRNA from 1 species
GCGAAUGUAGCUCAGUUGGCAGAGCCCUGGAUUGUGGAUCCAGUGGUCGUGGGUUCGAGUCCCAUCGUUCGCCCCA